UGAACCUCAAAGUAUCAUUUCCUCUCUGCUUCUGGACCUUGCCAAAAUUUCUGGAGGCUGGAGUACAAAAGAUUGAUAUUUUGCUUGAGGAAAGGCUAUAAGGAGGACACACACAUUAUCCUGCCAAACACAUUACUAUAAAAAGCUUAUAUGUAUCUACAAAGCAGAAAGAAGUGCCAGUUCUCUCCAAAAUGAAAGACUGGAACAUUCUCCAGAAGAAGAUACUGAUGCAGACGAAUUGGAAUAAGCGUUUUGAACAGAAUGUGGAAGAUCACCAAACCAAGAGUGUUUUAAUGAGAAGAGCAGGGUGCAGAAUCUGAGCAGGUGGAGAGGUUACUGCAGGGAAAAUGGUGGAUGGAAAGCCAGGAGAGAAGUCUGGAGCCACCAUAGUAAUGGAGGAGAAAGUUCCAGUUGCUCUGCCAAGAAGCUGUGAGCUCCCAAAGAAGCUGCAGACCUCCAGCCAAAGCUUAUGAAGAUCUGCAAGUCUGGGUUUACCAUAAUCAGACACCAAAGAUUUCAUCAAACCUGGGUCAGAGCAAGUAAAGAGGAUUUUUCUGGAUCGAACAAGAUGAUGAACCAAAUGGAAAAAGACUGGAUCUCUGAAUGAUCGCAUGGGGCCAAACCUGCCCACAUCCCCUUCGACAACAUUCAUUAGGCUCAUGAAGUACAGAAGCAAGGUUGUCAGCUGAAGGUGAAGAUAAAAGGAAAUCUUGGAAGUUUGAAGAGGAAAAAAAUAUGCGUAAUCAUCUGGAGGAGUGGCAAGGGAAAGAACUAUAGAAAUGCAGUGGGAUUUUCCAUCAGUACCAAUGCUUUUCUUGAGUUCACUGCAUAUAUGGUUCUAAACGGAUCCAGUGUGUGCAGACAGUUCAACCUGCAGCUGCCCCAGCUCUCCCUCUCUAGUUGCCUCUGGACCACUCCUUCAUGUCUCUGAAAGGAGGAGGCUGCCAGUAUUCAGUGGCAUCUGUGUGCUUGAAGGAAUUUGUCUAAAAUGACCUUGAG